GUGGGGAAUUUUGGACAAUGGGCGAAAGCCUGACGCAGCCAUGCCGCGUGAAUGAUGAAGGUCUUAGGAUUGUAAAAUUCUUUCACCGGGGACGAUAAUGACGGUACCCGGAGAAGAAGCCCCGGCUAACUUCGUGCCAGCAGCCGCGGUAAUACGAAGGGGGCUAGCGUUGCUCGGAAUUACUGGGCGUAAAGGGCGCGUAGGCGGACAGUUUAGUCAGAGGUGAAAGCCCAGGGCUCAACCUUGGAAUUGCCUUUGAUACUGGCUGUCUUGAGUACGGGAGAGGUGAGUGGAACUCCGAGUGUAGAGGUGAAAUUCGUAGAUAUUCGGAAGAACACCAGUGGCGAAGGCGACUCACUGGCCCGUUACUGACGCUGAGGCGCGAAAGCGUGGGGAGCAAACAGGAUUAGAAACCCUUGUAGUCC
rnacentral:rRNA from 1 species